rnacentral:rRNA from 1 species
CAGUCGCCGCGGGAAUACGAAGGGGGCUAGCGUUGCUCGGAAUGACUGGGCGUAAAGGGCGCGUAGGCGGUUUUGACAGUCAGAUGUGAAAUUCCUGGGCUUAACCUGGGGGCUGCAUUUGAGACGUCAAGACUAGAGUGUGAGAGAGGGUUGUGGAAUUCCCAGUGUAGAGGUGAAAUUCGUAGAUAUUGGGAAGAACACCGGUGGCGAAGGCGGCAACCUGGCUCAUUACUGACGCUGAGGCGCGAAAGCGUGGGGAGCAAACAGGAUUAGAUACCCGAGUAGUCCCUGUCUCUUAUAC